AUUUAUAUAGUUUAAAAAAAACGUUACAUUUUCAAUGUACUGAUGGAGUCUUUUCUAUAAAUA
rnacentral:tRNA from 1 species